GCUGGGCAAGGUGGCCCAUGCCUGUAAUCCCAGCAGCUCAGGAGGCUGAAGCAGGAGGAAGGUGAGUUGAAAGCCAGACUCAUCAAAAUUGAGGCAUUAAGCAACUCAGUGCGACCCAGUCUCUA
rnacentral:sRNA from 1 species